UUUAGUCUUCUCUACAGUAAAAAUGCAUUUUUGCCCUUCCACUCCACCUGUCGACCAUCGCAGCGUCUUCUGGCAUCUUCCCUUUCUUUUCACUAUUUUUCCUUCUACUGCUUUUCAUUUCUUUUCCUCUAAUUUGAGUUCGAUUGUUUUGGCUUCAGUGGUUUUGCUUUUCACUUCUUUUCCUCUCCUCUUUUCUCUGUUGUUCUGUCUCCCAGAAACUCUUUGUUCUCCAUUUGCCGUUAUCGUCCAACUCCGAUUUAGCCACCCUUCGUCAACUCCAUCUACUUUAAUUUUCCUGCAUAGCUUUCUCUUUGAAGCUCAAAAUUCUUGGCCAAAGAGAACAGCGAACUUCCCGAUGGUCACCAGCUCCAGUUCAAGGUCGAGAAGCACUCAGUCAAUGACGUCGCUGACGCCAAGAUUUCGUAAGGAAACGUUGGUCUUCGAAUAUUGGGGUUUUUGUCUGCAAGCUCGCAAGGCUGCAAGCCCUUUGUGAUCAAAAGUUGCAAUUUAAUCCUACAUCGACAAAUUUCUCUGAUGGCCACUGACUAGAGGUUGACAUUCAGAUUCGAUGGCUAGAUUGGCAACAAAUUUAUUGGGAAAUGCAUCUUCAAAGGAGUUGGAACUUCAACGUUGCAUUGGAGGAAAUUGUCAUAAGUUCGGUAGCCAGAGCUUGACGUUGGCAUGACAACAAAUUUAAUCGCAAAUGCAUAUUCAAAAGUAUAGAUGGACCGGUCAAUACGAAGCGCAUCUGUGGGACAAUAGUUGCAACAAAGAAGGGUAGAGCAGGAAGGGAAGCAAGCCGGGGAAUUACAAUCAAAUGAUGAAUCUUCAGUUUACUUGGGAAAAACAGUGGAUUCUUAAGAGGGGCUUCAAUGUACAGAAGAAUUACAAGUAGACGUCAUCAAUAUGGAAGAUGGCUAGCUAGGAUUGGUGUUGCUAUAAAUAAGGAUCUCUUGGGACAUUCAAUGAAAAAAGGUCAUUUCCAACUCAUGCAAAACCAGACUUUUUUCCCGCAGAAAAACACUAGGGUACCUCCUUUAAACUACUUUUCCCAUUCUUCUUAUCGGUCAGAAGAUGUCUUUUUGCCAGUUCUGAACAAAGUGAUGUAGAAGAUAUCUCAGAAGAAAAUGCGCAGAACUUUGACCAAGUUCCUAUCAAGCUAUUGAAAAAAAGUCAUCUCCAACUGCUGCAAAAAUAGAUUUCGGUUCUUCCAAAAAAGAUUAGGUAACUACUCUUUAUACUUGCUUUUUGUACAAGUUUUAAUUUAUCUGUACACAAAUUCAACAAAUCUAUUCUCAUUUUUCAAUUUUUUAAGAAGCUGUCUAUCAAACUGACUACAGUCGAAAUUUAAGAUUCUUAGCACAUGCUUUGUUUUGAAGCUGUCUAUCAAACUAACUACUCUUUAUAGUUGCCAAAUGUUGUUAUCUCACUAUCUUUACACAGUUUAUUUAAUCAGUUUUUUAGUAUAAAUAGUGAUGUCCUUGAUUAAAUAAUAAUGUCAAACAAAAUUAAAAGAAAAAUAUAACCGCCCAAUAAGAAUGACUUACCGAAUUACAUCACAAUAACAAAAGGUAAAGAAUAAAUAAAAUGGCAAGUAAAUGGCAUUAUAUAAUUUAUAUCAACUGAUUGAGCACCUACUUCAUAUGGGAAGAAGAGGUCACAAAGGCAAAAGAAGGAACAACAACUACUUCAUAUGGGAAUAAGAGGUUAGUUUAAUUGUAAUUAUUUUUUUAUUUGGUCAAAUUCGAAGUUGGUUGGCUUGCAUCUAAUUUGGUCGUUUGCUUGCACAGGUUGAAGUCACUGGUUUUAUUAAUGUUGGUGAUCGAAAUCAAUCCAAGUUAAUGUGAAAACGAUAUCAUUAUUUUGUUAUGGAGAGAACUAAUUUAAAUUAAGAAAUUGAAUUACAUUUUUAUACCUUUUUUGUGAUCAUUUACUGAGAAUUUGUUAAUUGUUUUAAUAUAUAUGAGGUAGGAUUUCUACGUUCAUUUCUCA